CAGCCGCCACGGUAAUACGUAGGGUGCGAGCGUUAAUCGGAAUUACUGGGCGUAAAGCGUGCGCAGGCGGUUUUGUAAGACAGGCGUGAAAUCCCCGGGCUCAACCUGGGAAUGGCGCUUGUGACUGCAAAGCUAGAGUGCGGCAGAGGGGGAUGGAACUCCGCGUGUAGCAGUGAAAUGCGUAGAUAUGCGGAGGAACACCGAUGGCGAAGGCAAUCCCCUGGGCCUGCACUGACGCUCAUGCACGAAAGCGUGGGGAGCAAACAGGAUUAGAUACCCCCGUAGUCCCUGUCUCUUAUAC
rnacentral:rRNA from 1 species